UACGGGGGGGGCGGGCGUUACUCAUCUUUACUGGGCGUAAAGCGUGCGUAGGUGGUUUAUUGCUGUUUCUUACUAAAGGUUAAUGGUGUUAAAAAUUGUAAUUUAAUACGAAUAAACUAAGAGUGUAUAAGAGGAUAUUGGUACUCAUAGUGUAGAAGUGAUAAUCGGUGAUAUUGACGGGGACCAUCGAAGGCAAAGGCAUUUAUCUAAUAUAUACUGACGCUGAGGCACUACAGCAUGGGUCUCGAACGGG
rnacentral:rRNA from 1 species